UCUACCCUGUACCCACACAGGCACCCAGUGACAUUAUGCUAGAAGACACCAGUGGAGAGUCUUGGAACCAGUGGAACCAGCCUUGAAAGCCUCGUUCUGCUCUUAACAGCUAUUUGGCCUCCAGGUCUCCUAGAUGCCGGGGUUUCCCUUCACCUUGACUAAUAGAUGCCAUGAAACAGCCACAACUGAAUCCCUGCUUGAGCGACCACAAAUGGGUAACCACCAGGCUCGUCGCACAUCGGGAGGAACAGAGCUGACAUCCAUUGAAGUGUCAUUUGGGACGGAGCCCACACUAGACACUGACUGUACAUUGCCUCAUCCAGUCCUCAUAACUUGACUCCUACGGGCAUGGAAGCCGGAAAACAUGAAAGCCACGUUGCCGACAAGUAGUGGUUGGUAGGUCUGUGGGCCUGAAUGGCAGAGCCUAAAGCCACCUAUGGCGAACAGUAUGAAUUCCAUUGGGAAGGCAAUUCCUUUUCUAUCUAGGCUUCCCAACUCCCCAAAGCAGAAAGCUGACGCUCGUGUUUAGAAAAGAGACUCAGGGGGAGCGGCAUUCUCCUUAAAGCCAACUCCCACUUCUUUCAAGCCAGGCUUAAUGACCCAAACUGCCAGCAAGGAUGAAAGAAUCUUGUUAAUGAAGUCCUCCACCAUGGGAAGAAGAUGAAAGAAAAAAGAAAGCGGGGAGGGAGGGAACAAUCCUUCACAAAUAUUUUCUGUUAAUAAAUUCCAUUUUGCCUCUAAAA